rnacentral:rRNA from 1 species
CUACGGGGCGCUGCAGUGGGGAAUCUUGGACAAUGGGCGCAAGCCUGAUCCAGCCAUGCCGCGUGAGUGAAGAAGGCCUUAGGGUCGUAAAGCUCUUUCGCCAGAGAUGAUAAUGACAGUAUCUGGUAAAGAAACCCCGGCUAACUCCGUGCCAGCAGCCGCGGUAAUACGGAGGGGGUUAGCGUUGUUCGGAAUUACUGGGCGUAAAGCGCGCGUAGGCGGAUUAGUCAGUCAGAGGUGAAAUCCCAGGGCUCAACCCUGGAACUGCCUUUGAUACUGCUAGUCUUGAGUUCGAGAGAGGUGAGUGGAAUUCCGAGUGUAAAGGUGAAAUUCGUAGAUAUUCGGAGGAACACCAGUGGCGAAGGCGGCUCACUGGCUCGAUACUGACGCUGAGGUGCGAAAGUGUGGGGAGCAAACAGGAUUAGAUACCCCAGUAGUC